CCUACGGGAGGCUGCGGUGAGGAAUAUUGGUCAAUGGACGCAAGUCUGAACCAGCCAUGCCGCGUGCAGGAAGACGGCUCUAUGAGUUGUAAACUGCUUUUGUACGAGGGUAAACGCAGAUACGCGUAUCUGUCUGAAAGUAUCGUACGAAUAAGGAUCGGCUAACUCCGUGCCAGCAGCCGCGGUAAUACGGAGGAUUCAAGCGUUAUCCGGAUUUAUUGGGUUUAAAGGGUGCGUAGGCGGUCGGAUAAGUUAGAGGUGAAAUCCCGAGGCUCAACUUCGGAAUUGCCUCUGAUACUGUUCGGCUAGAGAGUAGUUGCGGUAGGCGGAAUGUAUGGUGUAGCAGUGAAAUGCUUAGAGAUCAUACAGAACACCGAUUGCGAAGGCAGCUUACCAAGCUACUUCUGACGUUGAGGCACGAAAGCGUGGGGAGCAAACAGGAUUAGAUACCCUGGUAGUC
rnacentral:rRNA from 1 species